UGGGAAGUCCUCGUGUUGCACCCCUU
rnacentral:rRNA from 2 species